CGCGGCCUAUCAGCUUGUUGGUGAGGUAACGGCUCACCAAGGCGACGACGGGUAACCGGCCUGAGAGGGUGACCGGUCACACUGGGACUGAGACACGGCCCAGACUCCUACGGGAGGCAGCAGUGGGGAAUAUUGCACAAUGGGCGCAAGCCUGAUGCAGCAACGCCGCGUGAGGGAUGACGGCCUUCGGGUUGUAAACCUCUUUUAGCAGGGAAGAAGCGAGAGUGACGGUACCUGCAGAAAAAGCACCGGCUAACUACGUGCCAGCAGCCGCGGUAAUACGUAGGGUGCAAGCGUUGUCCGGAAUUAUUGGGCGUAAAGAGCUCGUAGGCGGUUUGUCACGUCUGCUGUGAAAAUCCAAGGCUCAACCUUGGACUUGCAGUGGGUACGGGCAGGCUAGAGUGCGGUAGGGGAGAUGGGAAUUCCUGGUGUAGCGGUGGAAUGCGCAGAUAUCAGGAGGAACACCAAUGGCGAAGGCACAUCUCUGGGCCGUAACUGACGCUGAGGAGCGAAAGCGUGGGGAGCGAACAGGAUUAGAUACCCUGGUAGUCCACGCCGUAAACGGUGGGUGCUAGCUGUGGGCCACAUUCCACGUGGUCCGUGACGAAGUUAACACAUUAAGCACCCCGCCUGGGGAGUACGG
rnacentral:rRNA from 1 species